GUAUUAUAGUUUCAAACACUCCGCGUUAUGAUGGCAUCAUAAAUAGAUUGAGCGUGUGAUUGACCUAAUCGCGGUAACAGAACAGUCUAUAGCUUUCUUUUUUCCAAAGAUGGUAUUUAUCGAUGCAUUUGUGUCGCCGUGAUUUUCACGUGACACGUUUCUACGCUUGCAGGUCAAGUGGUACCCACGAUAUGGAGAAAUUUUAGGACAGCGCUUCCGAUAAUGCUCGUGUCGAAAGUGCGACGGAAACACCGACAGAUUUGCUCAGCAGUUGCAUCUGUCCGGAAUUUAAACAAGUCCGGCAUUCUUCACGAUCACCAAAACCAAUGGAGAAAAGCCAAAAUACGCGAGGAUCCCCCAGGACCGAUUCUGAGAACCACUGGCUUAAAUGCUCUUGUCGGUCUCUUAAAUGUUAAAAACAUGUUCCUUUCUAAAUGCCAGUCUUACAAUGAUGGUUAAUUUUGUUAAAUUCUGUGUGUGUGAUUUCAUUGUGUGUUGUAUGUUAUCCAGCAAAUAAACUUUAAGACUCUUAA